GAUGAACGCUGGCGGCGUGCCUAAUACAUGCAAGUCGAGCGAACAGACGAGGAGCUUGCUCCUCUGACGUUAGCGGCGGACGGGUGAGUAACACGUGGAUAACCUACCUAUAAGACUGGGAUAACUUCGGGAAACCGGAGCUAAUACCGGAUAAUAUAUUGAACCGCAUGGUUCAAUAGUGAAAGACGGUUUUGCUGUCACUUAUAGAUGGAUCCGCGCCGCAUUAGCUAGUUGGUAAGGUAACGGCUUACCAAGGCAACGAUGCGUAGCCGACCUGAGAGGGUGAUCGGCCACACUGGAACUGAGACACGGUCCAGACUCCUACGGGAGGCAGCAGUAGGGAAUCUUCCGCAAUGGGCGAAAGCUUGACGGAGCAACACCGCGUGAGUGAUGAAGGUCUUCGGAUCGUAAAACUCUGUUAUUAGGGAAGAACAAAUGUGUAAGUAACUAUGCACGUCUUGACGGUACCUAAUCAGAAAGCCACGGCUAACUUCGUG
rnacentral:rRNA from 1 species